AAAAGCUCCUUUGAAACAGUUUAUUGGUUUGGUGGUUUUUGUUUUGUUUUGUUUUUUUCUCUUUCCCAUACUUCAGUCAUCCAUUGUCCUGAUGUUUUGUUUUCUUUCUUUGCCCAGAAGUAAAGAACUCCGAAUUUCCUGCUUAUGCGUUAAGGUGUGGUUUGUUACUCUCUAUCACUAAGCUGAAAUGUCAUGUUGGCGUUUUCAGGCAGCUAAAUUUUACCAUUGGAAUUGUUUGGAAAAAAAAUAGAGAAAAGUUCUGUAACGGCUUGUCCAGUCUUCUUGCUGCUGCAGUAGUAUUUCCACUGUGAUUUUCUCCUGUGUUGUCAAAUGUUGAAUGACCUUAGUAAUUUUCCAUAUGCUAUGCUAGUGUAUUUAAGUAUCUUAAGUAAAAGAGAACACUCAUGCAAUUGUAUGAUGAGUCAAAUAAAGUUCUAAAUAUACUCUUGUCACUAAGGAAUAGAUUGAACUUGAUGAAAGGAAGACAGAUGACUAGGUAAUUUGAGAGGGUUCUUUUAAAGUUAUAAAAUAGUUUUAUAAUCUGUAGUUCUAUAAUCCAUAGUUCCAUAAUCUGUAUACUAAAAUUACACAUUGUAGAGCAGUUGUUCUUCACCCAUUUUAAGAAUAUGUAUCCCGCUUUUAAACUGCCACACUGUCAUAUAGACUAAAACAUGCAUGUUGUCAUAACUGUUGCAUUUGUUUUUUUCUUUAUAGCAAUAAAAGACUGCGUGUUAAUAGUACGUUCACAGAAGUUUACAUCAUGGAGUACUGUUUACACCAUGUAACAUUAAUAGUUUUAUUUAGCAGCUAAAAUAUACAGUAUAUUCUACCGGCUUUAAUCAUGUUUUUCUUUUCCAGAAAUGCAGGGAAAGUGAAUUUAUGGAAUAAAAAUAUUUGCAUCUGUCCAAGGAAGCAGAAUUUGGUCUCUUUUAAAAGUGCCAAGUUGUACAUAAUAUGCCAGUGAUACCGGUGUAUGACGAAGCCCUCACCGCAAAGAAUGUAGAUGUAAUAGAGUGUUCCAGUCAGUAAAGAAUCUGCAGUUGUAAGCCAUUCCAAUGCAAUCAGGAAGCGAAAAGAUGAAGCGUGGGUCUCUCUGUGGGCUAGAAGUGCCAAAGCCCGGUGCCGGUGUUCUGUGACCUUUGGUUUCUGUCAGGUGGUCUGGCAGGAGGCCUUCAGGCAAGGCUUGGCCUCGGCAGGAUGGCUGGCUUCUUGCUUGUGUCUGGAGAGAACCAGCUGCCCUCUCCAGGAGGAUGAGAUGGGAGAAGAGACGCUCUUGUGCUCCUGAGGGACAAUGCCACGUCCAAGGCCUGUCAGUUAAAGCUGUGGGGCAGUUCUGGCUCAAAUCAAGUGAUAUCUGUGUGCACUCUGGCUCAAGUGGGGCUUUUUUAGGAAUGGUACUUUGCUUACCUGCUGCCCUGAGGUCAGAUGAAAGGCCUGUUACCCAGAAGAGUUUUUAACUGUGCUACAUGAUCUGUGGAAAACAGGUUGAUUAUGUUGAGCUUUAGAAUCUGGGAUGAGGUCUACCCAUUAGAAAAAAAAAAAACAAAAAAAAACAAAA